CAUUAUCGUAUAACCGAGNCACUAGGGCUGUCGCUGACCCUUUGAAAGGUCGUGCACGCCCAAGUGCUCUCUCGCAUCCAUCCCACCCCUUUGUGCAUCACCGCGUGGGCCACCUUUUUUUUUUU
rnacentral:misc_RNA from 1 species